AUUGAACGCUGGCGGCAGGCCUAACACAUGCCAGUCGAGCGGAUGAAGGGAGCUUGCUCCUGGAUUCAGCGGCGGACGGGUGAGUAAUGCCUAGGAAUCUGCCUGGUAGUGGGGGAUAACGUCCGGAAACGGGCGCUAAUACCGCAUACGUCCUGAGGGAGAAAGUGGGGGAUCUUCGGACCUCACGCUAUCAGAUGAGCCUAGGUCGGAUUAGCUAGUUGGUGGGGUAAAGGCCUACCAAGGUGACGAUCCGUAACUGGUCUGAGAGGAUGAUCAGUCACACUGGAACUGAGACACGGUCCAGACUCCUACGGGAGGCAGCAGUGGGGAAUAUUGGACAAUGGGCGAAAGCCUGAUCCAGCCAUGCCGCGUGUGUGAAGAAGGUCUUCGGAUUGUAAAGCACUUUAAGUUGGGAGGAAGGGCAGUAAGUUAAUACCUUGCUGUUUUGACGUUACCAACAGAAUAAGCACCGGCUAACUUCGUG
rnacentral:rRNA from 1 species